UUCGCAAUGCCCGAAAGGGUGACGAAGCGACGCCGCGUGUGGGAAGAAGGCCUUCGGGUUGUAAACCACUGUCGGGAGUUAAGAAAUGCAAGGAUAUUAAUAGUGUCUUUGUUUGACUAAGGCUCCGGAGGAAGCCACGGCUAACUCUGUGCCAGCAGCCGCGGUAAUACAGAGGCGGCAAGCGUUGUUCGGAAUUAUUGGGCGUAAAGAGCACGUAGGCGGCUAUGUAAGUCGGUUGUGAAAGCCUUCCGCUCAACGGAAGAACAGCAUCCGAUACUACAUGGCUUGAGUGCGGGAGGGGAGAGUGGAACUUCUGGUGGAGCGGUGAAAUGCGUAGAUAUCAGAAGGAACGCCGGCGGCGAAAGCGGCUCCCUGGCCCAUAACUGACGCUGAGUGUGCGAAAGCUAGGGGAGCAAACGGGAUUAGAUACCCCGGUAGUCCUAGCCGUAAACGAUGGGCACUAAGUAGAGGGGUUUU
rnacentral:rRNA from 1 species